rnacentral:lncRNA from 13 species
AACCACUAGAGGGCAGUCCUGCCCGCAUAGGCUUGUGAUUGUAUGCCGUGGUGAAAGUCCUAAAAAUAAGACUCGGUUCUGGAUUACUGAUCCGCUGAUCUGACCAUUUGCUGUAGAAUGGGAUCCUCAAACCACAAGACUUAAGAGGCUGAGUUAGCUGUCCUGUCUUUGGAUGGACCCUCAUCUUAUUGGCUACCCAUUAUUGGCCACCCGAAUGGGUGUGGUCGUAGUGGAGAAAACUGAUGAGAGCGACCAAUGGUAUGAAGACUUCCAGUGUUGGCUCUCCUCAGGUGAGAGGGGCCCCCAGUCCAGCCCCGUCACCCCCCACCGCAACCCUGUGACCCCUCAGCCCAGCCCUGUGUCAUCAGAAGGGGACGAACCUGGACAAGGGAGGAAGGUGUCUUUCUUUGAUGAUGUCACUGUCUAUGUGUUUGAUCAGGAGAGUCCCACCAGGGAGCUACAAAGUCACUGGCCAGAGACCAACAGCAAAGAGACCAAGGGUCAAUCUCCAAUACCAAUUUACAGACACACACCUGAGACCAAUGAUCUAUCCCCAAUCCCACCCUGCAGCUAUGUCAACCAUCUACCUCACAUGGCAACCUCAGGUGUCUGCUUAAAGGACAAUGGUCAUGGUUUAGAAUGGGAGGAUGACUUCUCCUUCUUGGACAGCUCCCUCAAAACCAAGAUGGCCGAUCACCAUCUAAUAAUAUCAGAAUCCAGUAUAUUUUCCGCAUCCCCCCACCAGCCCUCCACAUCCUCACACCAGAGGUGGAGUUGUCCAUCCACCCAUGCCUGCUCACAGUUGAGACCUUCUAGUCUGGUCCUCACCCACGUCACUGAUGCUGACCUGGAGCAGUAAGCCCAGUAUCCGCCUCUGGGGAUGAGGAGAUGGAGGCCUAACAGCGUGUUUGCUGAAGGAAGACAAUGUGAUGGAAGACAAAUCUCCAGAUAAACAGAAGAACAGAAGAGCUCAACAGUGGGACCUUGCUGUUUCACCACUAGUAAACACUACACAUACUCCCUUUACAUUCUAUGGACCUGACUAAGGGUCCAACUGCAGGGGUGAUAAACCAUCCCCACCAAGAGUCAGUUGUUUACCUUUCAGGGCUGUGGCUGUCUCCCAAUAAGGAUUAGCCUACGCAACGUGUUAACAAUAACAGAGGGCUCUGAUGAUCAGAACAUAGCAAUGGUGACCUGAUAAUCCUACAUUGAAUAAAUGGGUUCCAACAAUGGGAAUCUCUUGAUUCACUCAUCAAGUAUUUGACAGCCUGCAUAUUUAAAAUGUAAGAACAUUUUCAUCAGGCUUUUCAUCAGCUAACUACUGUACUGAUAAGAGCUUGAUGUUGAAAAUAAAACAUUUCUACAGUCUUCAUUUGAUUUGUUUCCCCUUGCCUAUCGUGAACGGUAUCUCAGUGAUAAGUAAUACCAUGCUGCAACAAUAGGUCACACACACACUAAAAGUGACUUCAAAAAUAUAUAAAUGUGUUUUGAUGAGCUACUUGGAGGGAUUCAGACAAUUAAUGGGCGGGUGCAAGGAGUGGACUGAUACAUGUGGGAAGCCUCCAGUUGAUUUUGACCAAUGAAGCUGAUAGUUUUAGCCCUGUUUAUACUUGGUUCUAACAUGCGUCAUGUUGUCGGUCAUGUCUAGACAGGAUACAGCUUUUGUCAAAUUGACCUCAAAGUAGAUUUUUUGGGCGUUUUAGCUAACCCAUUUCCUAACCUUAACCUGAUUCUUCUAACCUGCUACGUUCAUUCUCCUAAACUGCUGCAUAGGUUAUACUAAACCUGCUACAAAAAGAAAAUUGUGACAAAAGCUGUAUCCCUUCUAGACAAAACCUAAUUUGUCCUGAUCUUGUCCAAAAUCUAAUUGUGCCCACAUUUUAAAGACAGGUGUCGACUUUUAAAAUACACAUUUUGAUAUGAUUGUCAUUUAAUCUUACUGACCACCUCUGGAGUGGUCUUUCAAAUCAUUUGCAUAAUUUGCAUACAGGGACCAGGAUAUCUGGUCACAAUGCGGAGACCGUGGAUGGACCUAGAGAGAUACAUUUUACUACCAUGUCUCGAUCAGAGGAGGCUGGUGGGAGGAGCUAUAAUGGCUGGAAUAGAAUAAAUGGAAUGUGUCAAACUUGUAGUUUCCAUAUAUUUGAUGUGUUUGAUACUGUUCCCAACUAUUCCAUUCCAGCCAUUACAAUGAGCCGGUCCUCCUAUAGCUCCUCCGACCAGCCUCCUCUGGUGUAGCUGCAAAGGCUUCAAUGUGGGCACAAUCAGAAUGUUGAUAAGACCAGGACAAAUGAAGCAUGUUAGCUUCAUAGCCUCAGAUGUAAACGAGGCUUUUGGCUACGCACGGGCACAGAUGACCACGUCCGGAGUCUGAGCGCACUCCCAUUGGCUAAGCGAGCGCAACGUGUACAUUACAGCAGCGACAGGUACCUCACAUGCGACAGUUAUCUUUCAUCCUUGGAGCAGAACGACAGACGCUUCUUCCACUCAACCGAAACUUUAAUUCUGAGGAUAUUAUUGAUGUUUCACGGUGAAAACUAUUCUUCUACAUACACAGGCAUCUUACUUUCAUUUUUAAAG